ensembl:rRNA 5S_rRNA 5S ribosomal RNA
GUCUAUGGCCGUACCACCCUGAAUGCACCUGAUCUCGCCUCAUCUCGGAAGAUAAGCAGGGCUGAGCCUGGUUAAUACUUGGAUGGGAGAAGGCAGAGACAGAAAGAGGGUGGCUCCUGCCA